rnacentral:rRNA from 1 species
GACCGAACGCUGGCGGCGUGCUUAACACAUGCAAGUCGAGCGGAAAGGCUCCUUCGGGGGUACUCGAGCGGCGAACGGGUGAGUAACACGUGAGUAAUCUGCCCUUGGCUUCGGGAUAACUACCGGAAACGGUGGCUAAUACCGGAUAUGACCACUCCUUGCAUGAGGUGGUGGUGGAAAAGUUUUUUCGGCCAGGGAUGUGCUCGCGGCCUAUCAGCUUGUUGGUGGGGUAAUGGCCUACCAAGGCUUCGACGGGUAGCCGGCCUGAGAGGGUGACCGGCCACACUGGGACUGAGACACGGCCCAGACUCCUACGGGAGGCAGCAGUGGGGAAUAUUGGACAAUGGGCGAAGCCUGAUCCAGCAACGCCGCGUGA